AAAGUGGAGCAAUCCAUGAGUAGAGUGGCGAACGGGUGAGUAACACGUGGGUGACCUACCUUCGAAUGGGGGAUAACGUCCCGAAAGGGACGCUAAUACCGCAUAACAUCCUGCUUUUGAACAGGUGGAGAUCAAAGCCGGGGAUCGCAAGACCUGGCGUUUGAAGAGGGGCCCGCGUCUGAUUAGCUAGUUGGUGAGGUAACGGCCCACCAAGGCAACGAUCAGUAUCCGGCCUGAGAGGGCGGACGGACACACUGGGACUGAGACACGGCCCAGACUCCUACGGGAGGCAGCAGUGGGGAAUUGUUCGCAAUGGGCGCAAGCCUGACGACGCAACGCCGCGUGGAGGAUGAAGGUCUUCGGAUUGUAAACUCCUGUUGCCCGGGACGAAACGUUUCGACCUAACACGUCGAGACCUGACGGUACCGGGUGAGGAAGCCCCGGCUAACUCUGUGCCAGCAGCCGCGGUAAUACAGAGGGGGCAAGCGUUGUUCGGAAUUACUGAGCGUAAAGGGCGCGUAGGCAGCCUUCUAAGUCGAACGUGAAAUCCCCGGGCUCAACCCGGGAACUGCGUCCGAUACUGGAAGGCUUGAAUCCGGGAGAGGGAUGCGGAAUUCCAGGUGUAGCGGUGAAAUGCGUAGAUAUCUGGAGGAACACCGGUGGCGAAGGCGGCAUCCUGGACCGGCAUUGACGCUGAGGCGCGAAAGCCAGGGGAGCAAACGGGAUUAGAUACCCCGGUAGUCCUGGCCCUAAACGAUGAAUGCUUGGUGUGGUGGGUAUCGAUCCCUGCCGUGCCGAAGCUAACGCA
rnacentral:rRNA from 1 species